AUUGAACGCUGGCGGCAGGCUUAACACAUGCGAGUCGAGCGGGGAAAGGUAGCUUGCUACCUGACCUAGCGGCGGACGGGUGAGUAAUGCUUAGGAAUCUGCCUAUUAGUGGGGGACAACAUCUCGAAAGGGAUGCUAAUACCGCAUACGUCCUACGGGAGAAAGCAGGGGACCUUCGGGCCUUGCGCUAAUAGAUGAGCCUAAGUCGGAUUAGCGAGUUGGUGGGGUAAAGGCCUACCAAGGCGACGAUCUGUAGCGGGUCUGAGAGGGUGAUCCGCCCGACUGGAACUUAGAAACGGCCCAGACUCCUACGGGGGGCAGCAGUGGGGAAUAUUGGACAAUGGGGGGAACCCUGAUCCAGCCAUGCCGCGUGUGUGAAGAAGGCCUUUUGGUUGUAAAGCACUUUAAGCGAGGAGGAGGCUACCGAGAUUAAUACUCUUGGAUAGUGGACGUUACUCGCAGAAUAAGCACCGGCUUACUCUGUGCCAGCAGCCGCCGUAACAC
rnacentral:rRNA from 1 species